AUUGAACGCUGGCGGCAGGCCUAACACAUGCAAGUCGAACGAGCGGCGGACGGGUGAGUAAUGUCUGGGAAUCUGCCCGAUGGAGGGGGAUAACUACUGGAAACGGUAGCUAAUACCGCAUACCAUCGGAUGUACCCAUAUGGGAUUAGCUAGUAGGUGGGGUAAAGGCUCACCUAGGCGACGAUCCCUAGCUGGUCUGAGAGGAUGAUCAGCCACACUGGAACGGAGACACGGUCCAGACUCCUACGGGAGGCAGAAGUGGGGAAUAUUGAACAAUGGGCGCAAGCCUGAUGCAGCCAUGCCGCGUGUAUGAAGAAGGCCUUCGGGUUGUAAAGUACUUUCAGCGGGGAGGCGUUACCCGCAGAAGAAGCACCGGCUAACUCCGUGCCAGCAGCCGCGGUAAUAC
rnacentral:rRNA from 1 species